rnacentral:lncRNA from 1 species
CUCAAUGCUCCAUUCUAGCAGAAGGAUUUUCGGUAGGAAGACAUAGCAUCAAUCAAGGAUUUUCGGGUGGAAGACAUAGCAUCACUCAUGGUUGUAUAGAUUUACUGUUGUAUUUCUGUAUUUUUGCAAAACUAGUUCAGUAAAGCUUGUAGCUUAUUUCAGUUCUUAAGUGGUUUUACACUUAGGCUUGUAUUGACUUACUACUUAUUUUUUCCAUAAUUUUGCAACACUAGUUCUGUAGUACAUAGUACAAUUUUUUAUGGAAUCAAGUCAAAAUACAUGUAUAUCUAGCCGUUUGUAUUUCUACAGUCAUGCUUCUAAAGAUUGUAUGGUUUUAUUUUCACUAUAGAUUUGCUUGAGUAGUUCUGUAACUUCUAGAAUAGAUCAGUUAAGAGGUUUUACUCUUAGGCUUGUAUAAACUUACAACAUCUUUUAUUUGUAUUUUUGGAACAUUAGUUUUGUAUAGCUUUACUUUAGUUUCUGGAAACAAGAUUAAAUACGUAUGUUUGCAGUUUGUAAUUUACAGUAGUAUUUUUUGUGAAUUUGCUUCACUAGUUCUGUAAAAUGUCUAGAAUAGUUCACUUCUGGAAUGAAGAGUUAAUAUGUAUUAAUCAAUCUUCUAAUUUUACCUUUUCGCUUGUAUAGAUUUCCAGCUGUAGUAUUUUUGUUAUUUUUCUUCAGUAGUUUUGGAAAAUGGACUAAAUAUGAAAAGUUGGUUCUAAUUUAUUGUCAGUCUUUUUCUAUAGAUGUUACAGUUGCAUUUUUCUUAUUAGUUUUUGGCAAUUUUGCAAUGAGAAAGGUUUAACAACUGUAGUCUGUUCUGGUUUAUAAGGGCAUUGUAUCCAUGAGGAAAUUUGUUACUUAUUUCUAAAUACAUCUCUUACUGUUUAUCUGUAUGUUGCAGAGCAACUCACAUUGGUGUAGCUUAGAUGCAUUUUAAGAUAUGGCAUGAAGCUAGCUAAGGUCUUCUAUUAUUUCUAGCAGCAUGUGAUUGACUGAACAAGAGAAGGACUCCACUCACAUAUGAAGUGCUUGCAAGUUCUUUUUAAAAAAGCAAAGGACCAGCGGUGUAGCUAAGGGCUUUAAUUUAUUAGUACUCCAUUUGUUGCUUCUAAAACACUUGUAUGCACAGAUACUAGUUUCUCUUGGUUAUCAUAAGUGAACAUUCUUUAGAUAAAUUUCGCCUAGUUUUUUUAGUGGGGAAGGAAAGCUUCAUGAUAUUCCAUUUAAAACGCUGAUAUCUAUUUGAGAAUUAAUUUAUGUGCAUACCUCCUCGACCUAACAGUAUUUUUCUACUGUAUAGGAGAAAUCUUCUCAGUUUCUGAAUCCUGAGCAGUAGCAAGUCAGGUGCUUAAUGGUGAUCCUACCAUGCAUAUGGCAUAAGCAAGUUAGUUCUAAAAAGGUCAUUGUUAAUUUGCCCACAUCUAUCCUGCAAUUGCGACAACUUAGUGCGGUGAGAUUAGAGGACGGUCAUCAAUUUAAUCUACUUUGUGGCACUAAAGUAUAGAUGCUUUUCUCCGAUGCUUUUAUGAAUAUAAUAGUCAGAUGUAGUUUAAGUUCAGAUACUUUUUGACUUUUUGUUUGGUAUUUUGCAUGUCCUCAUGUGCUUAGUACUGCAUUUAGAAAUGAUUUCAGAUAGAUUCUUCUCAUUGAAAUUCAUUUCUAACGCAGGGAAAGUAUGUAUAACCUCCUGAUGUACGUGGGUUUUGAGAAUGCUUUUCCCAGGCCAUGCUGCACUCAUCAUUGAAACUUCUAGUUGUGUAUUAGAUAGUAAUCAUUUUUGCCUAAUGUAUUGCUGUCUAGUGCAGCAAAGUGCGGUCUUUCCACCCCAGAGAAGAAAAAGAAAGAGAACUAGUGCAGUCUUUUCUUCAAAAAUGACUUUCAUGUGUCCCUUGGUGGAUGUGUUGCUCCCAAUAAUUGGGUGUCUGGACAUGCUAAAUUGUUGCCUUGUGGCCAGAUGAUGCAUAUGCUCCUUUUCCAUUUAAUAUACUUCCUGGUCUGCGGAUUGAGGAGAUUCAUACAAGCUAUAUGGUGGGUCGGUGUGGCAUUCAUGCUUUAUUAUGUCUAACCCAUCACAGAUUCUAAUUAGAACAUGCCCUAUAUUUAUAAUACUAAAAUCCCAGUUUGUUUUUGCCAUUGGCGCUUUAUACAAUUAUCAUUUUUCCAUUAUCUCCAUGAAUGCGUGAAUUCACCGGUCACCCUUUUAUCCUUUGUAGGAAUGAAAUACAAGAGGACCAGGAAGUAAGCAUGAAGAUGGCAGUUUGUGUCAGGUAGGCAUUUUGUGUAAUGGGGCAAAAACAUUGUGUAUUUUAUCAUUUUGUAAACCUAUAUAGUGUCUUGUCAAUUGGGUAUUUUGUGUAAUGGAGCAAACAAUGAAACAUUGGACAUGCAUCUAUCAUUUUGUAACCAAUCAGUUGUCUUGGUGAUUGAAACAUAAAUGCUUCUUCCUUUCAGUUA